GUUUACGGCCAUACCACUGAGAAAGCACCAGUUUUCGUCCGAUCACAGAACUUAAAGUCAGUAGGGCACGGUUAGUAGUUGGAAGGGUGACCGCCUGGGAAUACGUGUGCUGUAGGCA
rnacentral:rRNA from 2 species